ACAGGCUUAACACAUGCAAGUCGAGGGGCUUUGCAGUGUAGCAAUACAUGGGCGGCGACCGGCGCACGGGUGCGUAACGCGUAUCCAACCUUCCCGUUACUCUUGGAUAGCCUUCCGAAAGGGAGAUUAAUACAGGAUGGUAUUCAAAUUCCGUAUGUUAUUUGAAUUAAAGAUUUAUCGGUAACGGAUGGGGAUGCGUGACAUUAGAUAGAUGGCGGGGUAACGGCCCACCAUGUCUACGAUGUCUAGGGGUUCUGAGAGGAAGGUCCCCCACACUGGUACUGAGACACGGACCAGACUCCUACGGGAGGCAGCAGUGAGGAAUAUUGGUCAAUGGGCGAGAGCCUGAACCAGCCAAGUCGCGUGAGGGAAGACGGCCCUACGGGUUGUAAACCUCUUUUGUCAGGGAGCAAAAGGCGGUACGCGUACCGCAAAGAAGAGUACCUGAAGAAAAAGCAUCGGCUAACUCCGUGCCAGCAGCCGCGGUAAUACGGAGGAUGCGAGCGUUAUCCGGAUUUAUUGGGUUUAAAGGGUGCGUAGGCGGAAUGCCAAGUCAGCGGUAAAAUUACGGGGCUCAACCUCGCCGAGCCGUUGAAACUGGUGUUCUUGAGUGGAAGAGAAGUAUGCGGAAUGUGUGGUGGAGCGGUGAAAUGCAUAGAUAUCACGCAGAACUCCGAUUGCGAAGGCAGCGUACCGGCUUCCAACUGACGCUGAAGCACGAAAGCGUGGGUAUCGAACAGGAUUAGAUACCCUGGUAGUCCACGCAGUAAACGAUGAAUGCUAGCUGUUUGUGUCGAUUGAGGCAUGAGUGGCACAGCGGAAGCGUUAAGCAUUCCACCUGGGGAGUACGCCGGCAACGGUGAAACUCAAAGGAAUUGACGGGGGCCCGCACAAGCGGAGGAACAUGUGGUUUAAUUCGAUGAUACGCGAGGAACCUUACCCGGGCUCAAACGCACUAUGAAUGGCGAUGAAAGUUGUCAGUCAGCAAUGACAUAGUGCGAGGUGCUGCAUGGUUGUCGUCAGCUCGUGCCGUGAGGUGUCGGCUUAAGUGCCAUAACGAGCGCAACCCCUAUCGACAGUUGCUAACUAUAAAAGUAGAGGACUCUGUUGAGACUGCCGGCGCAAGCUGCGAGGAAGGCGGGGAUGACGUCAAAUCAGCACGGCCCUUACGUCCGGGGCGACACACGUGUUACAAUGGCAGGUACAGCGGGAAGCCACCUGGUGACAGGGAGCAGAACCCGAAAGCCUGUCUCAGUUCGGAUUGGAGUCUGCAACUCGACUCCAUGAAGCUGGAUUCGCUAGUAAUCGCGCAUCAGCCGUGGCGCGGUGAAUACGUUCCCGGGCCUUG
rnacentral:rRNA from 1 species